rnacentral:rRNA from 1 species
UACGUAGGGUGCAAGCGUUAUCCGGAAUUAUUGGGCGUAAAGAGCUCGUAGGCGGUCUGUCGCGUCGGCUGUGAAAACUCGGGGCUCAACUCCGAGCUUGCAGUCGAUACGGGCAGGCUAGAGUUCGGCAGGGGAGACUGGAAUUCCUGGUGUAGCGGUGAAAUGCGUAGAGAUGUGGAGGAAUACCGAUGGCGAAGGCAGCCCCCUGGGCCAAUACUGACGCUCAUGCACGAAAGCGUGGGGAGCAAACAGG